ACAGUGAUGUUGGGGCCGAAGGAAGCGUGAAACAAAAUCGUGGGCUAACGAACAGAAACUUAAUACUAAGGCUCUAUAAGGAGGAUAAGAUUGCAUAGUAAAUCAAAGUCCAAAAUGAUAACGUAUCCUUAUGUGAAGUAGAUUAAGUGGCUAAACGAGGAAAGUUAU
rnacentral:ncRNA from 1 species